AAAUUUUACAACACUGGAACUUUGAACUGCACAUUAAAUUUCGUACAGCAUAUUAUUUAAGGUGUUGUUAUAACAUACCCAGCAACACCCGUGUGCACGCCUAUGCAUAUACCUAAACAACGCCUUGCUGCCCUCGUCGGCCUGACCAAUUCAAUAUGCUAUUUGGUCACUGAACACUGUGAAAAACAAGAACUUACUUCAUUGGUCAAAAUAUAUUAGUAGGUGCUUCGUAAAUAUGAUUUCAAACUUCGAAGUGUUGAAGAGGAUAUCGAAACGAAAAUGAAGUCGCUGGUUGCAGAUGUGACCGACAAAGGUGCAUCAAGAAAGGUGCAAAAAGAGCAGUUGCUCCAGUUGGCAAAACAUUGAAAGGCAACAAAAAAA